UACAGCUGUGUCAAAUUAGACACCUGCCUGCCUGUGGCAGGUGCUGGCCCAAAAGGCUGUGGAGUUGUGACUUAUGAGCCCUGUCCCCCCAGGUCGGGCUCACAGAUACAUUUGGUCACAGACAGCG
ensembl:snoRNA